UGGCUCUAUGUUGUCCUCAUUGUACAUGCUGUGUGUAUUUGUAUUACAUGCACAGCGCAUGCAAUGUGGACGUAAUGGAGAUC
rnacentral:pre_miRNA from 1 species